AUUUUGAUAGCUUAAAUAAAGCAAAGUACUGAAGAUACUUAUAUAGAUGUUUUUUUCUUCAAAAUA
rnacentral:tRNA from 1 species